rnacentral:rRNA from 1 species
AGUGAACGCUGGCGGUAGGCCUAACACAUGCAAGUCGAACGGCAGCACAGUAAGAUCUUGCUCUUACGGGUGGCGAGUGGCGGACGGGUGAGGAAUACAUCGGAAUCUACUUUUUCGUGGGGGAUAACGUAGGGAAACUUACGCUAAUACCGCAUACGACCUACGGGUGAAAGCAGGGGAUCUUCGGACCUUUCGCGAUUGAAUGAGCCGAUGUCGGAUUAACUAGUUGGGGGGGUAAAGGCCCACCAAGGCGACGAUCCGUAGCUGGUCUGAGAGGAUGAUCAGCCACACUGGAACUGAGACACGGUCCAGACUCCUACGGGAGGCAGCAGUGGGGAAUAUUGGGCAAUGGGCGCAAGCCUGAUCCAGCCAUACCGCGUGGGUGAAGAAGGCCUUCGGGUUGUAAAGCCCUUUUGUUGGGAAAGAAAAGCAGCAGGUUAAUACCUCGCUGUUCUGACGGUACCCAAAGAAUAAGCACCGGCUAACUUCGUG